GACGUAGGGGGCCAGCGUUGUUCGGAAUUACUGGGUGUAAAGGGUUCGUAGGCGGUGCGGCAAGUUGGGAGUGAAAUCUCUGGGCUUAACCCAGAGGCUGCUUCCAAAACUGCUGUGCUUGAGUGUGAGAGAGGCGAGUGGAAUUGCGGGUGUAGCGGUGAAAUGCGUAGAUAUCCGCAGGAACAUCCGAGGCGAAAGCGGCUCGCUGGAUCACAACUGACGCUGAGGGACGAAAGCUAGGGGAGCAAACAGG
rnacentral:rRNA from 1 species